rnacentral:rRNA from 1 species
UACGUAGGGCGCAAGCGUUGUCCGGAAUUAUUGGGCGUAAAGAGCGUGUAGGCGGCUUGGUAGGUCCGCUGUGAAAACUCGAGGCUCAACCUCGAGAUGUCGGCGGAAACCACUUGGCUAGAGUCCGGAAGAGGAGAGUGGAAUUCCCGGUGUAGCGGUGAAAUGCGCAGAUAUCGGGAAGAACACCUAUGGCGAAGGCAGCUCUCUGGGACGGUACUGACGCUGAGAGACGAAAGCUAGGGGAGCAAAUGGG